GAACGCUGGCGGCAGGCCUAACACAUGCAAGUCGUACGAGAAGGUUCCUUCGGGAACUGGAGAGUGGCGCACGGGUGAGUAACGCGUGGGGACCUACCUUUUAGUGGGGGAUAACGGUUGGAAACGACCGCUAAUACCGCAUACGCCCUUCGGGGGAAAGAUUUAUCGCUAAGAGAUGGACCCGCGUUGGAUUAGAUAGUUGGUGAGGUAACGGCUCACCAAGUCUUCGAUCCAUAGCUGGUUUGAGAGGAUGAUCAGCCACACUGGGACUGAGACACGGCCCAGACUCCUACGGGAGGCAGCAGUGGGGAAUAUUGGACAAUGGGCGCAAGCCUGAUCCAGCCAUGCCGCGUGAGUGAAGAAGGCCUUACGGGUUGUAAAGCUCUUUCAGAUGUGAAGA
rnacentral:rRNA from 1 species